rnacentral:rRNA from 1 species
AUUGAACGCUGGCGGCAUGCCUUACACAUGCAAGUCGAACGGCAGCACGGGUGCUUGCCCUUGGUGGCGAGUGGCGCACGGGUGUGUAAUAUAUCGGAACAUGUCCUGUAGUGGGGUAUAGCCCGGCGAAAGCCGGUUUUAUACCGCAUACGCUCCACGGAUGAAAGCGGGGUACUUUCGGCCCUCGCGCUCUAGUGUUCGCCGAUGGCGGAUUAGCUAGUUGGUGGGGUAAAGGCCUACCAAGGCGACGAUCAGUAGCUGGUCUGAGAGGACGAUCAGCCACACUGGGACUGAGACACGGCCCAGACUCCUACGGGAGGCAGCAGUGGGGAAUUUUGGACAAUGGGCGAAAGCCUGAUCCAGCAAUGCCGCGUGUGUGAAGAAGGCCUUCGGGUUGUAAAGCACUUUUGUCCGGAAAGAAAGCCAGGAAGCUAAUACAGUCGGGGGAUGACGGUACCGGAAGAAUAAGCACCGGCUAACUACGUG